CGCAGGCACCGCACCCGGCGCUGCCGGCCCUCCUAACUCCCGGGUGAUGGGAACUAGGAAUUAGUUAAUGGGGGUCAGAAUCCCGGGGAAAGCAGUUAGCCCUGUGGUGCUGCCGGGCGUCUCUUGGCAAAGCCUCUUAGGGGUUGUAUCAAAUAGUAAACGAUUUUAAAAUGGAUUCAUUUGGUUAGGGGAGGAGAAUGGCGUGGAUGGAGAGAUGUGGACACCUCGUGAACAAGGAGGUAACAAGGAGGAUUGGAAGGCACAAAGUAAAGAAAAUGAAAAUUAGAAACUUGUGAAAAGGAGCAUUACCCAUUGCAGUUCUUCAAACUUCAGACUUCCUUCUGUCUUGGAAUUACUUGAAAACUAUCAUGAUUUCCACUUUGCUCUUUGAUGUUUGUGUUUUCAUAUUCUCCCUUUUUAAAGCAAAUUCCCAAAAUAUAAAAGCAUCAUUUGCCAGUUUCCUCCUCGACUAUUUUAGAACAGCUAAAUUUCAUGUGUUAGAAGUGCAGAAAUGAAAAUGAAAGAAGAAAAGAGAGACACUUUCAAUGUUUCUAGCACACAACACCUGCCUCUCACAUAUCUUUGGGUUUCUGUCUAUCAUGAACCUGCAGAAUCAGAACCUCAUAAAAAGUCUGACCAAGCAAAAAUUAUGCUAGAAGUGCUUACCUUUGUUGCUGUACACAUGAGCGUUAAUUUAUGGGCAAUUAUCACUGAUACGAAACAAGAAAAUACUCUUCUCAUAGUCCCCCUAAAAGAAAACACUCUUCUCAUAGUCCUCCUAAAAGAAAACCUGCCAAGGAUGUGGAUGUGUCCAGUCCAGUAGGGACUGAAGGAACAUGUGGGAGCAGACACAGAAUUUGUUUGUAAAUUUGAAUAAAAUAUAAGGACAAGAAAGCUAGGUUCUGAGGAAAUGAUCAAGACUUUUAAAAACAAAUACCUGAAUGAUAGGAGGAACCUUGGUUUUUCAGUCUUUAGAUAUCUAUAUCGCUUCACAGGAGUUGCCUGCAAAGAAAUACAAGCCAAAAUAGAUUAAUGUAAUGAAAACAAAGGAAAAUUUAUUUUAGUGUCAGUGGAGAUACCUGUCUUUGGACACGUUGCUUUAAACUUUUGGUUUAGCUAGGAAGUGCUGGGUUGAUUUAAUGAUAAAAUAUAUUUGGGGGAAGAACAGAAUUGGAAUCCAGUUAAGUAGAAGUAGAGACUUAAAGGGAAACUUGGUGAGCCUCAUAUAACCCCAAAUAACAAUGAGAUCAAGCUGGGUUUGAUGCUUAGUGCCAGUGAAACACACAAUGGAUUUCUUUAGUUGAUUGUUAACAGUAUUUGGACAUCUGACUCUCCAGUUUUUUUAUUCUCCCAGGAUUUUAUGUUUUUAUGACUCACUGAAAGGGCACAUGUUUUCCUGUGACAAAAUCCAAACCUUCUAUACUGUCUGUGAGUGAUAAGUUAAUAAUGCAUAUUUAAGUAUAUCCUACACAGAUGCUUAGUAAUGGUAAAAUUGUAUUAAGGUAAACUACACACUUCCUAUUCUGGAAGUUUCCUGCAAAAGGAAAAACUAUUCCAACAAUGUCAAGAAACUUAGGAUUAUGUACAUAUUCAAACAUUGCUAUAAAUCAAUUUCUAAUCACUAAACGUAAAGCCAUCAUCGGGUUUAUAGAAUUUUAUUUUUUUUAAUGAGGGCUUCUUUGGGCAUAUGCAGUGAUGUAUGUCCGAUUACUAUAAAAAGUACAUCUGUAAAUGAGAACACGUGGACACAGGGAGGGGAACAUCACAUACUGGGGCCUGCGGGGGUGGGGGGAAGAGGGCUGGGGGACAAGGGGAGGGAGAGCAUUAGGACCAAUACCUAAUGCAUGCAGGGACUUAAAAUCUAGAUUAUGGGUUGAUAGGUGCAGCAAACCGCCACAGCACAUGUUGAAACAAACCUGCACAUUCUGCACACGUAUAUCCCAGAACUUAAAAUGUAAAAAAAAGUAUAAAACAAUUUUUAAAAGUACAUCUGUUAAAAAAAAAAAAAGACGCUCUCUAUAUACCCUGGAACUCUUAAAAAUUUUGGUUGUGUGUUUGUACUGUAGCCUUCAAGAGCUGACUUACACUUGAUCACAGAGCAUUUCUGAAAAUAUUUCUCACUGUGAAAAAUAUCAUUUUUAAAAAGAAAAGAAACACCCAAGGACAACCUCAUACAAUCCAAAGACCAACUGUUCAUACUCACAGUUGCCUAGAUAACAGAAUUGUAUUUGUUCAGCAUUUUGCUUAGUUUUGCAGGAAAAAGAAAGCAAUUUCGAUUUGUACUCAGCUUUGCGAAGGCAUAACUAAUGCCAAAUAUCCUUAGCUGUACUCUUCUAGCACUCUUUUAACUUAAAUAAAUUCAAGAGGCACUUGUGUGGUCUAAAA